CCCCUGGUGGUCCAGUGGCUAAGAUUCCCAGUGCAGAGGGCCCAGGUUCGAUUCCUGGCCAGGGUA
rnacentral:tRNA from 1 species